rnacentral:rRNA from 1 species
AUUGAACGCUGGCGGCAUGCCUUACACAUGCAAGUCGAACGGUAGAGUAGCAAUACUCGAGAGUGGCGAACGGGUGAGUAAUAUAUCGGAACGUGCCCAGUCGUGGGGGAUAACGUAGAGAAAUUUACGCUAAUACCGCAUACGAUCUACGGAUGAAAGCGGGGGAUUCGCAAGAACCUCGCGCGAUUGGAGCGGCUGAUAUCAGAUUAGGUUGUUGGUGAGGUAAAAGCUCACCAAGCCGACGAUCUGUAGCUGGUUUGAGAGAACGACCAGCCACACUGGGACUGAGACACGGCCCAGACUCCUACGGGAGGCAGCAGUGGGGAAUUUUGGACAAUGGGCGAAAGCCUGAUCCAGCAAUGCCGCGUGCAGGAAGAAGGCC